rnacentral:tRNA from 1 species
GUCCCUGUAGCGCAAUGGAUAGCGCGUUGGACUUCUAAUCCAAAGGUUGUGGGUUCGAAUCCCACCUGGAAUG